rnacentral:lncRNA from 1 species
AAGUUGAGGUCCGGUCUUUCGCUGCGUAGAUGUCAAAAUAUGCGUACGGGGACCGGUCCUCAAUUCAGAGACCGGUCUCCCAAAACUUCUACGCAGAGAAGCUUGAUGGGUCCGGUCCCUCUGAUCAAGGACCGGUCCCCGACCCCUGAGUUUUUCAGAAAACUUAAAUUUGAAUAAAUAAAAAGGAAACCAAGUCUUCUAAACAUCUUUUAACAAUGAAAACUUCACCACAAAUUAUUUAUAAUCAUACCUGAGAUC